CAGCAGCCACGGGAAUACGUAGGUGGCAAGCGUUGUCCGGAACUAUUGGGCGUAAAGGGCUCGCAGGCGGUUUCUUAAGUCUGAUGUGAAAGCCCCCGGCUCAACCGGGGAGGGUCAUUGGAAACUGGGAAACUUGAGUGCAGAAGAGGAGAGUGGAAUUCCACGUGUAGCGGUGAAAUGCGUAGAGAUGUGGAGGAACACCAGUGGCGAAGGCGACUCUCUGGUCUGUAACUGACGCCGAGGAGCGAAAGCGUGGGGAGCGAACAGGAUUAGAUACCCGCGUAGUCCCUGUCUCUUAUAC
rnacentral:rRNA from 1 species